rnacentral:lncRNA from 1 species
CUAAAUUUUUUUCGAAUAGGUCUGGAUACUUCUCCCUCAUCUCGCUUUCCAACUCCCAUGCUGUUUAUUCUGAGGUAUGAUGUUGCCAUCGCACCUUCACCAUGGGAAUCGUCUUAUUGCGCAAGAUCUUGCUGGUCCACCCAAGAAUCUCCACAGGAACCUCUUUAUAAGUCAUGUGGCCUUGUACCUGCACCUCAUCGCGAGGAA